rnacentral:rRNA from 1 species
ACGGGGCUAAACCAUGCACCGAAGCUGCGGCAGCGACACUGUGUGUUGUUGGGUAGGGGAGCGUUCUGUAAGCCUGUGAAGGUGUGCUGUGAGGCAUGCUGGAGGUAUCAGAAGUGCGAAUGCUGACAUAAGUAACGAUAAAGCGGGUGAAAAGCCCGCUCGCCGGAAGACCAAGGGUUCCUGUCCAACGUUAAUCGGGGCAGGGUGAGUCGACCCCUAAGGCGAGGCCGAAAGGCGUAGUCGAUGGGAAACAGGUUAAUAUUCCUGUACUUGGUGUUACUGCGAAGGGGGGACGGAGAAGGCUAUGUUGGCCGGGCAACGGUUGUCCCGGUUUAAGCGUGUAGGCUGGUUUUCCAGGCAAAUCCGGAAAAUCAAGGCUGAGGCGUGAUGACGAGGCACUACGGUGCUGAAGCAACAAAUGCCCUGCUUCCAGGAAAAGCCUCUAAGCAUCAGGUAACAUCAAAUCGUACCCCAAACCGACACAGGUGGUCAGGUAGAGAAUACCAAGGCGCUUGAGAGAACUCGGGUGAAGGAACUAGGCAAAAUGGUGCCGUAACUUCGGGAGAAGGCACGCUGAUAUGUAGGUGAAGUCCCUCGCGGAUGGAGCUGAAAUCAGUCGAAGAUACCAGCUGGCUGCAACUGUUUAUUAAAAACACAGCACUGUGCAAACACGAAAGUGGACGUAUACGGUGUGACGCCUGCCCGGUGCCGGAAGGUUAAUUGAUGGGGUCAGCGCAAGCGAAGCUCUUGAUCGAAGCCCCGGUAAACGGCGGCCGUAACUAUAACGGUCCUAAGGUAGCGAAAUUCCUUGUCGGGUAAGUUCCGACCUGCACGAAUGGCGUAAUGAUGGCCAGGCUGUCUCCACCCGAGACUCAGUGAAAUUGAACUCGCUGUGAAGAUGCAGUGUACCCGCGGCAAGACGGAAAGACCCCGUGAACCUUUACUAUAGCUUGACACUGAACAUUGAGCCUUGAUGUGUAGGAUAGGUGGGAGGCUUUGAAGUGUGGACGCCAGUCUGCAUGGAGCCGACCUUGAAAUACCACCCUUUAAUGUUUGAUGUUCUAACGUGGACCCGUGAUCCGGGUUGCGGACAGUGUCUGGUGGGUAGUUUGACUGGGGCGGUCUCCUCCUAAAGAGUAACGGAGGAGCACGAAGGUUGGCUAAUCCUGGUCGGACAUCAGGAGGUUAGUGCAAUGGCAUAAGCCAGCUUGACUGCGAGCGUGACGGCGCGAGCAGGUGCGAAAGCAGGUCAUAGUGAUCCGGUGGUUCUGAAUGGAAGGGCCAUCGCUCAACGGAUAAAAGGUACUCCGGGGAUAACAGGCUGAUACCGCCCAAGAGUUCAUAUCGACGGCGGUGUUUGGCACCUCGAUGUCGGCUCAUCACAUCCUGGGGCUGAAGUAGGUCCCAAGGGUAUGGCUGUUCGCCAUUUAAAGUGGUACGCGAGCUGGGUUUAGAACGUCGUGAGACAGUUCGGUCCCUAUCUGCCGUGGGCGCUGGAGAACUGAGGGGGGCUGCUCCUAGUACGAGAGGACCGGAGUGGACGCAUCACUGGUGUUCGGGUUGUCAUGCCAAUGGCACUGCCCGGUAGCUAAAUGCGGAAGAGAUAAGUGCUGAAAGCAUCUAAGCACGAAACUUGCCCCGAGAUGAGUUCUCCCUGACCCUUUAAGGGUCCUGAAGGAACGUUGAAGACGACGACGUUGAUAGGCCGGGUGUGUAAGCGCAGCGAUGCGUUGAGCUAACCGGUACUAAUGAACCGUGAGGCUUAACCUUACAACGCCGAAGGUGUUU